CAAUAGCGUAUAUUUAAGUUGUUGCAGUUAAAAAGCUCGUAGUUGGAUUUCGGGUGGGACGCAGCGGUCUCGCAUUGCGUUUGUACUGCUGCAGCCCUCCUUCUUGCCGGGGGCGGCCUCUCGGACUUCACUGUCUGGGGGUCAGAAUCGGCGAUGUUACUUUGAGUAAAUUAGAGUGUUCAAAGCAAGCUUACGCUCUGAAUAUAAUAGCAUGGGAUAACACGACAGGACUCUGGCCUAUCGUGUUGGUCUAUAGGACCAGGGUAAUGAUUAAGAGGGACAGUCGGGGGCAUUCGUAUUCCGUUGUCAGAGGUGAAAUUCUUGGAUUUACGGAAGACGAACAUCUGCGAAAGCAUUUGCCAAGGAUGUUUUCAUUGA
rnacentral:rRNA from 1 species